CUGGCUUCUAACUCCAUCCCCAAAGAUUGGACCCCACGAUUGGCAUUUCUGGGGAUUCCAGCCCCAGCUUCUUGGGCAUUGAAGCCGGAAACUGUGACUGCAGCUGUCGGUAGGAGUCCGAGCUGAAGCUGAAGUUCCUUGAAGUCGAAUCCUCGGGGUUCCCUGGACAGACUGGGCAGGUGGGCGUCGCAGGGGCCGCCCCCAUGGUCUCCAAGCCCCUGGUGGGUCGUGAUUCCUGUCUGGAGCUUCCUUGGGUUAGGCGAGGAAGGAGGAGCGCCUCCAGUGAGACGCACGCCCGGGACCGCGGCUGCCUCGGUCACCCGCUCACCGAGCGUCGGCUCCUCCAUCGGGGGGCAGACGCCCCGCUUGGAUUUCCUUCCGAGACGAAGGCGGGAGUCCCACGACAGAGAGCAUUUAGGACGAGCCCAUCUGCUCCCAAAGCUGCCCGCCCCGCCGCGGCUCCCGGUUCCGUUCCCUCCGGCGUUUCCGGGUAGAACAGCGCGUGUUGGCCCUUCCGUGCUCCGCUGACCCGACGCGCAGCAGCACCGCACUGGCUGGCGGAGGAGCCGAGAAGCUGCCCUCUCGGCGUGCUCUCAAACGUGACGCGGCUCAGCGACUCGGCUGCGAGUGGGUCCCAGCUCCGCACUCGCCCUGAACUCGGGCGACACCUCUCCAGGCCACCGCGGUGUGCAGACCCCGCGCUGCAGACUCGGGCGGAGAACGGGGUCGGUUUCAUUCGGAGACCAUCCCGUCGUGUCCUCUGUGCGGCUACAGGGAGGAGGCGGGAACGUCCGCUCUGCGUGCAGAGCCGCAGGGGAGACCGCGGUCCCCCGGACAGAAGGGCUGUGGGCGGAAUAGGCGGGCUUUGCCCGAGGCCAUCACACCGGGGUGAUUCUGCCCCCGGGGAACACGCGCGGGUCAGGAGUCGCUCCUGGCGUGUGGUGCCCAGAGGUCAGGGUGUUUCCCCGAAUCCCACACAGGACAGCCCCCCGGUGCCCCAGAGACUCAACCCCACAACGUCAGGCGUGCCGAGGUUGGGAACCCCAGCCUAAGGCAUAAAGAUAAAGGAGUUCAGGCAGACAAAUCCGGCAGCUGGAGUCUGGAGAUGAGGGCGGUUUCCUUCUCGCGGAGCCUCUGCUUGCUGUCCUGGUAGCUGGAUGGCNNNNNNNNNNNNNNNNNNNNNNNNNNNNNNNNNNNNNNNNNNNNNNNNNNNNNNNNNNNNNNNNNNNNNNNNNNNNNNNNNNNNNNNNNNNNNNNNNNNCGGUUUCCUUCUCGCGGAGCCUCUGCUUGCUGUCCUGGUAGCUGGAUGGCCGGGGACCAGGAACACGCUUUGUGCAGGGCGGGACACCCCCUCUCUGCCCAGAGCCGGGGUCCGGGUGCGGCCCUUCUGAGGGGCCUCGGGGCCAGUCCUGAACCAUCAGCCUCCAAGCUCAGAGUACAACGUACAGCAGCUCUCACGUUCUUGGAAAUAUCGCUGUUUUGCUUUAAGUUUGUGUCAGCCUUAUAAACACCUACUUUUGGAUUAUGAAUACUCUGUCAUCACAUCAACUGCAAUUUGAGUUAAACUGCAAUUUCAGUUCUAGGUCUUUAUAUCAAUAUACUGAAACCAACCUACGCAGGUAUACACCCGGGACACAAACUGCUGGUUUUGCACUUGUUCUCAGCUGCAUUUUUACACUCAGGUCCUGAGUUAGUGAGACCACAUGGAAUAGCGACUCAGUGACUCUGGGAGGCAGCGGAGGACAGGGCAGGCUGGCGUGCUGCGGCCCGUGGGGUCGAAAAGAGCCGGACACGACCUGGCGACUGAACAAGAAGAAUCUGGUCCCUGGGCUUGGCCCUGCCCCCCGCUGAGGCAAACCCCACCAGGUGCCCGGGGUCCCCCGCCAGGAGAGUCUGACCUGGGAGGGCACGAUGCUGACCCCCCACCUCAGGUUCAUCGGGUGGCGUGUCCCGCCCCACCCCGUGCACCUGCCUCAGGCUAGGAUGCUGAAGGGGAAGAACCGUGGCGUUCUCUCAGGCACGUCGCAGUGGACAGAUGCGCCCUGCUUCCUGAGACCUCGGAGCUGCUCUCGCGGGCGGCUGAUGUGAGACUCAGGCCCGCCUUUGUGUCCACGGCCAGCCCCAGAGGCCAGUGGGAGGAGAGGAGAUUGUGCAAGACUUGGAAAUAACACAUCACACAAACUGCGCAGAUGCCAGAGCGUUAACGCACCUUUCAUUUAAAGGAAGAUGGAAAUGGAAUCAGUGAUGACCUGCAGAAGGUGACUCUGAGUCAGGGGGAUUCACGGGGAGAGGUGUGUUUGGAAGGAAAGAUAAUUCGUGAUCCUACUUCAUGAGGGGCGCUCACUGUGCAGGCUGCGGCAGCUCUGCUUUCGUUGCAGCUUUAGGUCUUCGUGGCCUGACGUGACUGGGUGCGCAUUCCAGUCUAUGCCCGUGUUUACACCGGCCCCGCCACCCCCGUCCCACCACCCCACCCACCCCCCGCAGUGGUUUCCUCACUCAGUUCAGCUCAAUUCAGUCACUCAGUCAUGUCUGAAUCUUUGCAACCCCAUGGACUGCAGC
rnacentral:lncRNA from 1 species